GCUUGGAAGUCUCCAAAGUUGUGGACGACCCCAAGAAGUUUGUAUUCCCCGCUCUUGUGAGUAGAUUUGAGAAAAAAUUCCAUUGACCUUGGUGAUCGGGUUGUGGAGGAUUAGGGUUGGAAAAGACCCGGCCCUGUGUGGGCUCCUCAAUGGGGAGUAGGACACCUUUGUGGUGUGACCGAACCUCGAAAUAAAAUCUUAUGUCUUGUGUUCUUGCUUGGAUCCGUGAUUGUGAUUUUCUAUUUGCUAAGAUAGGCAUAGAGGUUUGUUCGCCGUGUGGAUCUCGUGGUGAAUUAACUCCUGUAUUUCUCACCAUCCACACUUAGUUUAACCCUCGUGUUUUCCGUCCUAAGAGAUCCCUCAUUGUAUUUUUGCAUAGUUCAAAGCCUAUAUUUAUUCUAGCAGUUGGACUAGUUCAAAGUAGUUCAACUUGCCUUUAUAGUAGUUGAACUGGCCUACACCAAUUGAACUGUAGAUUUGACAUUAUCUCGAAGUUUGUGGAGAUAAUUUUUAGGUUUAGCCUAUUCACCCCCUAUAAGCUACUUUCAUCUAACGAGAAGACGAGGUAGGGUCCCACUACGAGGCCUUUACAAAGUUCCACUAGCUUCAGAAAACCCGCUACGGUUCUGUGAGAAGGGGGCGAUAUAGGAAUCCCUCUUCCGAAAAGCCAUCACAACAUGAUCAAUGUGAGAACCUUCCUAUACUGGUAGCUCCUCACACAUAUGAUGAGAACCUCCCUAUAUAGGCGCGUCUCCAUAUGUGCUAGGAUCAAGUCUCACACAUAUGAUGAUUUAUGGUAUAGAAAUCAAUGUCACAUCUUUAUUAUAUAAUAGAAGUUCUGUACAAAAUAGCUUAAUAAAUACAUCAUAUGACAACGAUCCUCCGCAACUUUAGUUGACUGGAAGACGAUGGCCUAAACCUCUUCGAACUCAUCGUAGCAUCCUUCAUGCUCCUCCAACGGUACCUAUACUUGACCUGGUGUGAUUAUAGCAAGGGUGGGCUCCCAUACGGUUAUCGCUCAACAAGUGUGGAGAAAAGUGUAGUGUAAGGCUUACCAAGGAGAAUGGUUAAGGCUGAGCAUUGCUGUUAGUGUUCGUCAAAAUUUUAUUAACAAUUACUAGGUAUAAGUAAAAACCAACCCAAUUAAAUAAUUGAUCACAAUUAAUAAUAAAUCCAAGAAUGCAAUGAAAAUAACAUGUUAAGUUUAAUUCCAUAAAUUACUCUUGUGAGGGUCCGAGCCGCUCUUGACCUUGAGCACGGCUAAUAUACCAGUUUUACACUCUGUAGAGGUUGCACAUCUUUAUCCACAAGCCGUGUUACCCAUUUGCCAAGGGAUCACGACUUCCCAUUCAUCUCUACCGAGAAGACGAGGUAGGGUCCCACUACGAGGCCUUUACAAAGUUCCACUAGCUUCAAAAAACCCGCUACGGUUUCUGCAAGAAUGGACGAUAUAGGAAUCCCUCUUCCAAAAAGCCAUCAUAGCAUGAUUGACCUGAGAACCUCCCUAUACCGACAGCUCCUCACACCACGAUUGUCCCUUUCGGGUAAGGUAGUCGUCCACUAGCUUUUUUAUUUAGUCAGCCAAGGGCGUUCCAUACCACCCUUGUGGUAACACUAUUUUUCAGGUGGUUCUCCAUGUUCCAAUUAACACAAUGAUCUUAUCAUGAACAAUAAUAGAUGACCAACUAUACUAAAUAAUAAUCGAACAUGGUCAUGAAUCAUAAGUAUCAUUAAUCCCAAAACCAGGUCGAGCAAUAGCAAGUCUACCCAAUAAGUCAUUUGUUUGUAAGGUGCAGGGUAAACAAACUAGGUAACCUAUUAGGUCUCAUUAGCUUAACCUAACAGUGCCACAGUGAUUAACGAAACAUUAUUAGAUAAAAGAAUGUGAUCAAGGACACAACUUGCCUUUGUGGUGCAACUUCAGGUAUUUCUCCAAGUUUGAGCUUCAGGUUCCUCAUGACCUCGCUUCUAUUCGUAGCAACACAUACAAAUAAACAAAUAAUGGCUAUGAUAACAUUACACCAAUGCAUUAGAACAAACAGCGUAAGAAUAUUCUACGCAUCAACACGAAUCUGUAGGUUCAAGAACCGCUAAAUUCAGAGUUAAAAUGAAUUAGGUAUGAGUUUUAUAAGUCAUAUGAAUUAUUUUAUAUUAAAAUCAACAUUUUAGAUUUAAUUUAAUAAGAUCUGGACUAUGGUUAUUAAUUAUAUAGUGACUAGGGGCUAAACUAUAAGAAUCAUGGACCUUACUUAUAUUCUCUUGAACCAGGUAUGGACAACGAGUUUAUUUCGUAAAAACAUAGGGACUCUUUUGCAACUUUCCUCGACCGAAGGGGUAUCGUGAUGCCUCAGUCGCCCGAUUAUAAAUUUAUGGCGCUGAUUAAUUUGUCACCCUACUGAACCGGUACACAACCGGAUCCGUUGGAUCUCGAAUCAAUAGCAUGAGAGACGUCCACGUCUCAAACUACUCUGCACCCUCCAUCAUCGGUCCUACGAUUCAUAUUAUAAACAAGCAAUGGGUUAUGAGUAAUCUAAUCAUAGCCGUCCAUUCCAGAUCGAUGGCCCAAAAUUCAUCUUCCCACUCGUCGGACAACAAGCGGUGAUGCCGCAUGCCCACGACGACUGAUCACCGAUGAAUCUCGUUUGUGCAUUCUGGUGUUCUAACGACUACAUGGAUAAGUGCUAACCGAUCCUGAGUAUAUGGCGAACUAGUGGUGCGGGCUCUCACCUUCAAUUUGGGUGCCAGAGCAUGUAGACCGCGCGGCACCACGGUUUGGCGAAACGACGAGUCUCCGAUGAGGAAUCCCCAGUGACCUAGUCGACCUCCGGCUUCAACGACUUCGUGCAUGGUUUCCCUACGCCCUAGUGAACUCCAUAGACCACUGACAAAAUCCUGAGUGAUAACGUAAGCAAGUGGUCACGACAACGGCUAUCUUGCGAUGCGUUCUUAUCUACGACUCUCGGUGGCGGCUGCUUGCGGUGGCGGUGGC
rnacentral:lncRNA from 1 species